AAAACCCCAAAUCGCUCGACAAACCCUAGCUCAACCGAAGCGAAGAAUUUCUGAGAAUCAACCAUUCCGGCAAGAUAAUCGGUUCAACAAUGAAGUAAGUAUAUGAUUUAGCUCUUAUCUGUUACUCUUAUUCUCUAGGUACUGUAAAUCCCUUUCUGUGGUGGCUUGAGCCCAUCCUGCUUGAUAAGCUUUGUCGUAUGGGGUUAGCUAUUGAGAUUCGCCGGCAUCCAUGGUGCUAUUUCGGAUCUGGGCAGGCUAGAGUUAGAAGAUUUUUUUCUGUGCUGAUUUCAUGCGUUUUUAUUGCUUUAUCCCUUAAUCAGUUAUGGGUGUUUUUGUUUGGUCUCUCUUUGGUUUCGCUUGCCGGACUGCUGUCAGUUUUUAUGGGUGAACUGUUUCCGUUGUCGGUCAGCUGCGUGUUCGCAUACUCUCCCUUGUACAUUACAGCUGGCUCCUGAGUUCGACGCACUGCUCUAGUUUGGGUAAACCUCACGUGGGUUGUGUAGUUACUGAUGUGCUCUGGUUUGGGUUUGGUGAAAUUCUAAAAUUGCAUCAGAAAAUUGAUUAUUUUCGUAAUGUAAUGAAAUCAAGUGGGAGAGACUGGCCAAUGAAGAAGGGAUAUCACCGGUAAAAUUGUUCUCAGAAAGCCAUAUUUUUCUCAAGGACGUCAUUUUCGAAAAGAAAUUGGAUGGGAUUUCACCAGAAAACUGAUUGGGUUUGUAAAGAGCAGAUCUGUGACCUUUUGAUUUGUGAAUAGGAGAUUAAGAGAAUGUGAGAUUGGGUUUGUAAAAGAGCAGACUUGUGACCUUUUGAUUUGUGAAUAGGAGAGAGUGUGAGAUUGUUUCUUAAUGUUUUUAAUCUGUUUGUUUUAUUUUAAUUAGAAAUGUUAAAUUAGGUUUUGACCAUUUUGCCUUUUAUUUAAAUAGAUUUAUUUAUUUAAUGAUUAAAAAUAGUUUUUUUGCCACAUAAGCUUCUUAAGGC
rnacentral:lncRNA from 1 species